rnacentral:rRNA from 1 species
CCCUUAGAUGUUCUGGGCCACACGCGCGUUACACUGAUGAAGCCAGCGAGUAUAUCGCCUUCACCGGAAGGUGCGGGUAAUCUUGUGAAACUUCAUCGUGCUGGGGAUAGACCAUUGCAAUUAUUGGUCUUGAACGAGGAAUUCCUAGUAAGCAUGAGUCAUCAACUCGUGCUGAUUACGUCCCUGCCCUUUGUACACACCGCCCGUCGCUACUACCGAUUGAAUGGUUUAGUGAGAUCUCGGGAUUGGAGACGUUGCGCCGCAGGGCACAUCGUCCUCGAGAACUUGAUCAAACUUGAUCAUUUAGAGGAAGUAAAAGUCGUAACA